CUUGAUUUUUGGGAUGACAUCUCUCUGGCAUAUCUAUCGCUCUUCUGUAGUUUUUGUGUCUUUGGAUGGAAUAUGGAGAGGCUUGGAUUUGGAAACAUGUAUGUUCAUAUUGCAACCUUUCUCCUCUUUUGUAUGGCUCCUUUCUGGAUUUUCAACUUGGCUGCCAUUAAUAUUGAUAAUGAGACUGUCAGGGAAGCUUUAGGAGUUACUGGUAUUAUUCUUUGUGCAUUUGGUUUGCUAUAUGGUGGCUUCUGGAGGAUUCAAAUGAGAAAAAGAUUUAAUUUGCCAACUUAUACCUUCUGUUUUGGUGAACCAGCAGUUUCUGAUUGCACGUUGUGGCUAUGUUGUUGUUGGUGCUCCCUAGCACAGGAAGUUCGAACUGGGAAUUCUUAUGACAUUGUGGAAGAUAAGUUUUACAGGAAACACGUGGACAGUAGUAACUAUCUGCAGCCUUCACCUCGUGAAGAUGUUUCAGGCCCAAGUUCUCCAUUAGGCAACAACCGUAGCCCAUCCAAGACUUUGAUAGCUAAUUCUCCAAGUCCUAGCAGAGUUUCAAAUGAGUACAGGCAACUUUUUACUGUAAAAGAAGAGUCUUCUGCAGGAGGCAAGGAUGAGACUAUGACUCCGCCAUCUCCAACAUUGAUAGAAAGAGAAGCCACUUAGCUGGAACGCAAUUUAGAUAGCAUUCUUAUAUACUGGUAAUGAUUUGAUGUGGAAUGGCAAUGUAAACUUUACAUUUAUGAUGUAUCAUGAGUGACUCCGAUACAAUACAUACCUAAAUCUUUUACAAAUAGUAGUUUUCCUCUUCAAAGAUUUAGGUAUG
rnacentral:misc_RNA from 1 species